rnacentral:lncRNA from 1 species
AUGUAUAUACCACCUCAUUCAUCAGAUUGGAGAGAAAAGAGGCCACGUUCCCUAACUGGCACCUGGAUGCUCCCAAGACCCCUUUCUCCCUGCCUUGGUCAUCUCUCUGGAGCCCCGGAAGCCUCUGUCCCUUUCCCACCCAACUUCCCACUGGAUGCCAUCCCUGGGGGUCCAGACUUAAGAGAUGAAGGACAGCUGGUUAGGACAGACAAUGUUGAGUUGCAGGGCAGAAGGUUCAAGAGGGCACUGGAGGUUUGCCAAAAUGCCCCAAGCUUCUUCUCUUGCCCUCUAGGAAAGGCCACUCAACUGGGCUACAAUGAGAAAAAUUUCAAAAGCCCUAAGGAAAUGUGGGCUGAUCUUUGAGCUAAAAGGGACCUGAGAGGGCAAACAUCCAAACUGUACCGAAAGCAAAGAAACCUCUUCUGCAAUAUCCUCAGACAAGAGGUCAUCAUCCAUAUGGACUAUUAUUAGGAACAGGAAAUGUCUGAGGUCAGAUUUCAAAUUCAGAUCUUCCUACCUCAGAGCCCAGCACUCUAGGCACUGAGCC